CACUCUUAUUCACACACCCAUAAGACUUCCUGAACUACGUAAUAGCAGUUAAGCUGCAGCAACUCUUUUUCUUUUGCCACAGGACUGUAUUAAAUGGGGUGAGUAAACAGCAUGUCAGUUCAUUGCCAUCGACUGAAUAAGAAACAAGGUAGUAAAAAUAAAAACAAAAAAACCUCUUGACAUUUUAAACUGGCCCUCAUUAGUCAGACGUGAUAGGAAUAUUAGUCAGAGGAGUCAGAAAAUCCCACAUCUGAAAGUACUCAUGUAGAUCUUGAUUAUUUGAGUAGUUAACAUCAUGUACACGUUGCUGACUGAAUUCAGCGAAAUGCUGCUUCUAAAAGAAGCACUCCAGGGUAAGAUGUAUCAAGUUGGUGCCAGAAAAUGAGCCUUAUUGAGACCACUUUCAGGGGAAGAGGUCCCUGAAGUGGCCACUUCCAAGUCAGGUGGAGGCAGGCUGCAAGAGCUGACGGUGGCUGCGCUGAGACAGGCUUGGAUGUAUGUAUCACUUGCAUGCUGUUUGCAGGUCAGGUAAUCAGCAAAGUCACUGCUUUCCGGCUGAGACUGCUUAAGAGCUGAGCAGUGAAUGAGGCUUGGCAUUUUGGGGUGCACUCCAAGGGCCCCUGGGUGCAGACUGCAUGACCCCUCUUGGCUGAGUCAACACAUAAUGCCUCACUGCUUGGUUAAUGUGCAGUUAGCUUCACCCUGGGCUCUCUUUCCAGAUUUACUGCAAUAUAGCCCUGUUGGUUUUUAUUUUCUUUCCCCCCUCAGUGGUUGCACUUGGAUUACUGUGCUCUGACAAUUUUUCUUCCUGUUACACUUUCUUUUCAAUAACAGAUGCUCAAACAAAUAUUGACUUCUGUGGCUUUGUGCUUGUGUUGCUGAGAAUGAAAUGCUGUAUCACCCUUUCUGAUGGUCUAUGGCAAACACAGAGAGCUAUGAGAAAACAGGACUUCCUCCACAUUGUCCUAUUAGAGCUACAGUGAUGGACAAGAGCCUGCAUGCUGCACCCAUAAAAAUCUCUGUGAGUGGAGCUGUUUCACAGCUGCUAUGAAGACAUGUGGUCCAUCUUUCAUCAGCUUGAACAGAUGAAGUCAGAAGGCACCAACAUAUGCAUUAUCCAACACAAUCUCCAUCUUCUUCAGAGUUAUUGAAUGUUCGUGCUUCAAGGAAUCAGGAAGCCCUGAUGAACUACAGCUUAUCAACACCUCCUCUUCUUCUGAAUUCCCUUUACUACAGCUCUUCAGCUGCAGGCUGAAAGCAGCAGGCAGAAAAAGAACAGCUACUGAAAUUCAUUCCUAGUGUGGUGUUGUUGCCAGUGAUAUUGAUUUCAAUGGGAGUUGCACCUGCCCUUGCUGUGGAUUUAUUUUACGUGGAAAGCACACAACUCUUGUCUACGAUUUUGGUUUAAGAACUUUGAGGGGAAGCUGGAAAGAUAUCAGAGGUUUGAACUGCUUUAUGUAACUAACUUUGCAAUUGAAAAGAUAAAUAUAUAAAUUUCCAAUUGUAUUCUGCAAAGAAUAAUUUGUUUGGGCUCCUAAUCAUUUCCCUGAUGUCUAGAAGCUUCUUUCCCAAGACUCUCUGGCUCUGCCUACAACUGCAGACAAUGUGGCUCAGUAGGAGCAGAUCAGCAGAGUGAAAUGGAGGGUGUUGAAAUGCAUACAGCAUGGAAACAUUUCAGAUCACAGAAUACUCUGAAAGAGAGCAGCCCAUUAGCCCUUCUGUGCAGUAAGUGUGUACGUGGAGCACAAGCAAAUCCCCAAGAGAAGCACUCUGCACUCAAUGAGGCUGUGAGUUGUUCCACAACUGAGAGGUUUGCUUUGAAAUUGUACUCCCAAACCAAAUUAAAAUGCUAAGGUAAGUUUCUUCUCCAAUUCUCUAGAAGAACUUCUCCAUCACAGCUUCUUACCAUUCAAAGCUCAGAGAAAGCCCCGCUUCUUCCACCUGAGUGCUUCACUCCUCUUUCAUAAGCUCUCUCCUUAGUGAUCUCAAGGUGAAUGGUAGUUAACUGGAAGGACAAGCAAUUUGAUUAUAUUGUGUUUGCUUGGACCAUUAGCUUUGGCAUUCAGAGCAAUCCUGAUGGGAGUUAUUUACUUCCCAACAUGCUUAAUCUUGCUCCCUGCUCAGCCACUGCUAGCCAUCCUUGGCAGUAGUAGAGGCUCCUGGAUGGCACAGGGCCAACAAGAAGGUUGUUUUUAUAAAUUUCCACACUCAACUUUAUCUUCCACAAGAAAAGAACAAAUGAAAUAAGCUUAUCCACUGUGCUUUCUGACAGACCACAUGACAAAACCCUCAUUUUCAGAUGUCAGCUGUGCUACUGUCCUAGUAAAAACAACAAAAAAAAGUGAUUGCUUGCUCUUCUCUAUCCCUUUCUUCACAGUAGAGUUAGCAACAUCAUUAGAUGGAUUACAAGUAACACGAGGCAUUAAUGGUGUUGGGAUGAACCCUUAGGACAAUUUGAUUGCUGCAAUUCUUAUACAAUGUACCUCAUUUGUUUAGCUAUGGAGACUGUAAG